UACGUAGGGUCCGAGCGUUGUCCGGAAUUAUUGGGCGUAAAGAGCUCGUAGGCGGUCUGUUGCGUCGGCUGUGAAAACCCGGGGCUCAACUCCGGGCCUGCAGUCGAUACGGGCAGACUAGAGUUCGGUAGGGGAGACUGGAAUUCCUGGUGUAGCGGUGAAAUGCGCAGAUAUCAGGAGGAACACCAAUGGCGAAGGCAGCACUCUGGGACGUGACUGACGCUGAGACGCGAAAGCGUGGGGAGCAAACAGG
rnacentral:rRNA from 1 species